UAAUUAACAAGUAAAGUAAAUUAUUUUAACUCAAAAUAGCAUAUUAUACAUUAAUAAUUUUAUUUCUGAUUUAUUUAACAUAAAGCAGCCCAACUUCAGAUUGUUAAAUCUAACUUCAGACUGUUUUAUCUAGGCAUGAUGUCCGGCAAUUACACUACCAUUGACAAUUAAAACGUCUCCGGAGGAGGAUCUGUCUCCGGAUCUGUUCCAGCAGUUGGAGAUUCUGGUCAUGUGUCGGUUAAAUUUGCUGAUUCAAAUAAAAGUCCCAACAAAUUGAGUAACCCAAGGACAAAACCUUCUGCCUCUUGGCUCCAAUUACAGUACUAACUUGUAACCUUAUUCAUUAAUAUGAGAUUGGGUAUGUGCUCACAAUUUGCUACCUAGUUUGCUAUUAGGCUAAAAAAAUUUCCACUUUCAUGUUAUUCACUCACCUUUUUUGAUUUGCAAUCCUUAGGGGGAAUUUCAUUGAGAUUAAUAAAUACUUUUGAGCUAUUAGGAACCAAUAUUCAUCUUUUUGUUGACUGCAUUGUGUUGUAAUUACAUCUUCCUUUGGUUGAGUGCAUAGUGAGGUUUUGUAUUUGUGCUUCUAUAGUUUUAUUGGAGAUUUCAACUACUGUCAACUCAGAUUUUACGACUCUUAAAGCAUUUCCAAGGAUAUAAGAUUUGAAUUUCAUGGUAAUUUACAAGGUUAAAACUUUUGAAGGUUUAUACUGUAUCAUCUCAUGAAUCCUUCUCUUUAAUAUUUAAAUCCCUAUGCGCUGCUUUAAACCCUCAUAGAGCUUUGACUUCACGAGGCAAAUUUAUAUUACUCAACGAUUCUAUCUAUAAUAUGUAUCAAAGCAGAUUUUAUUUCAUGUUACAAGAUGGAUAAUUUUUCAAAAGGGCUUAUAAAUUAUUUGCCUAUUUAUUUCAUUAGUACUCACUAAAAACAAUUAAAAGAAUACCCUGAACAUAAAAGUUUUAUGACCAACUUCUUGAUUGCCAUAUCAUUAGUAAACUUUUGUAUGUAAUGACCGUUAAAUCAUGAGCUAAAGCUAAGAAUACAAAUACCUAAACAAUUUGAUUAUAAGAAUCUAAUACUCAGGCCAUGAUAAACUAUAAGGAAAUCAACCAACACAAUAACUAGAAAUUGUGGCCGCAAAUUGCAAGUUCAAGUGGGUCUAUAUCAAUCCCAAUAAUAUAAAAAAUCAUUCAACAAUAAUUCAAGUUACAAACAUAGAAAAUAACGCAUAUAAACAAAAUAAUAAAUCAACAUAAACUUGAUAAAUAUCAACAAUUAUUUAAUCACUAACCGACCAAAUAACAUACACAAAAGUAAAUUAAUUUAUUUUCAAGUACACGAAAAAUCAGAGCUGAUCAGAA